rnacentral:rRNA from 1 species
GAGGCAGCAGUGGGGAAUAUUGCACAAUGGGCGAAAGCUGAUGCAGCGACGCCGCGUGGGGGAUGACGGCCUUCGGGUUGUAAACCCCUUUCAGUAGGGAAGAAGCGAGAGUGACGGUACCUGCAGAAGAAGCGCCGGCUAACUACGUGCCAGCAGCCGCGGUAAUACGUAGGGCGCAAGCGUUGUCCGGAAUUAUUGGGCGUAAAGAGCUUGUAGGUGGCUUGUCGCGUCUGCCGUGAAAACCCGAGGCUCAACCUCGGGCGUGCGGUGGGUACGGGCAGGCUAGAGUGUGGUAGGGGAGACUGGAACUCCUGGUGUAGCGGUGAAAUGCGCAGAUAUCAGGAAGAACACCGAUGGCGAAGGCAGGUCUCUGGGCCAUUACUGACACUGAGAAGCGAAAGCAUGGGUAGCGAACAGGAUUAGAUACCCUGGUAGUCCAUGCCGUAAACGUUGGGCACUAGGUGUGGGGGACAUUCCACGUUUUCCGCGCCGUAGCUAACGCAUUAAGUGCCCCGCCUGGGGAGUACGGCCGCAAGGCUAAAACUCAAAGGAAUUGACGGGGGCCCGCACAAGCGGCGGAGCAUGCUGAUUAAUUCGAUGCAACGCGAAGAACCUUACCAAGGCUUGACAUGCACUGGACGGCUGCAGAGAUGUGGC